GAUGAAGAACGUAGCGAAAUGCGAUAAGUAAUGUGAAUUGCAGAAUUCAGUGAAUCAUCGAAUCUUUGAACGCACCUUGCGCUCCUUGGUAUUCCGAGGAGCAUGCCUGUUUGAGUGUCAUUAAAUUCUCAACCAUUAUCAACUUUUGCUGAUAAUGGCUUGGAUGUGGGGGUCUAUUUUGCUGGCUUCUCAGAUAGUCAGCUCCCCUUAAAUGCAUUAGCCGGUGCCCCGCGUGGACUGUCUAUUGGUGUGAUAAUUAUCUACGCUAUGGACAUCUGCAAUCAUAUGGGUUUGCNNNGCUUCUAACAGUCUGUUGAUUCAGACAAUACAUGACAAUUUGACCUCAAAUCAGGUAGGACUACCCGCUGAACUUAAGCAUAUCAAUAAGCGGAGGA
rnacentral:misc_RNA from 1 species